rnacentral:ncRNA from 1 species
CAUGCGGUGUCAGUCUGUGUACUCGAUAGCGGCAUGGCUUCAAAUUGAGGU